ACUCCUACGGGAGGGCAGCAGUGGGGAAUAUUGCACAAUGGGCGCAAGCCUGAUGCAGCCAUGCCGCGUGUAUGAAGAAGGCCUUCGGGUUGUAAAGUACUUUCAGCAGUGAGGAAGGUGGAUAUGUUAAUAGCAUAUUCAUUUGACGUUAGCUGCAGAAGAAGCACCGGCUAACUCCGUGCCAGCAGCCGCGGUAAUACGGAGGGUGCGAGCGUUAAUCGGAAUUACUGGGCGUAAAGCGCAUGCAGGUGGUUUGUUAAGUCAGAUGUGAAAGCCCGGGGCUCAACCUCGGAAUUGCAUUUGAAACUGGCAAACUAGAGUACUGUAGAGGGGGGUAGAAUUUCAGGUGUAGCGGUGAAAUGCGUAGAGAUCUGAAGGAAUACCGGUGGCGAAGGCGGCCCCCCUGGGACAGAUACUGACACUCAGAUGCGAAAGCGUGGGGAGCAAACAGGAUUAGAUACCCUGGUAGGCGGUAG
rnacentral:rRNA from 1 species